CUCUCAUCAGUUUUCCCUCCGAAGAAUUUUUUUUUCAUUAAUAUGCUUCUCCUCAUUCGUGUGAUACUCAGCUUUCUCUCCUGACAGAGAUGAGUUACAACUCCGAUGAACGUUCUUCUUUGUCAAAGAGUGAGUCAAGUGUGUCUAAAUGUGUACGAACUCAAUGUGAUUGCGGAAGACCAAUUUCACGAAAGACAUCAAACACAGAAAAGAAUCCUGGAAGAAUUUUUUUUAGUUGUUCAUCUCAAGAGAAAAAAUUUCAACAUUAUUUCAAAUGGCUUGAUGAUGCACUAAUUGAAGACAUGAAAGAGAUUCAAAACGAGUUACAGAAAUUGAAGUUGGAAGUGAAGUCGGGAUUUGAAGUAUUCAAAGUCGAGUUGCGGAUGAUCAAUGUUGAAUUGCAGAAGGGGAAUGUGAAGUGCAAAACAAAUGGAUUCAAGGUGGUUGUUGCAGUUAGGGGUGUCAAAAUGGUCGGGCCGGACCGGCCCGGCCCGAGCCCGACAAAAACCCGAAGAAUUACGGGCCGGGUCGGCCCGACCCGAAACACACACGGGCUUAAAAUCUUGGGCCCGAGGCCCAGCCCAAUGGACUUUUUUUGGGUUCGGACCGG